rnacentral:rRNA from 1 species
GACGAACGCUGGCGGCGUGCUUAACACAUGCAAGUCGAACGGUAAGGCCCUUCGGGGUACACGAGUGGCGAACGGGGGAGUAACACGUGGGUGAUCUGCCCUGCACUUCGGGAUAAGCCUGGGAAACUGGGUCUAAUACCGGAUAGGACCACUGCCUGCAUGGGUGGUGGGGGAAAGGUUUUGCGGUGUGGGAUGGGCCCGCGGCCUAUCAGAUUGUUGGUGGGGUGAUGGCCUACCAAGGCGACGACGGGUAGCCGGCCUGAGAGGGUGACCGGCCACACUGGGACUGAGAUACGGCCCAGACUCCUACGGGAGGCAGCAGUGGGGAAUAUUGCACAAUGGGCGCAAGCCUGAUGCAGCGACGCCGCGUGAGGGAUGACGGCCUUCGGGUUGUAAACCUCUUUCAGCACCGACGAAGCGCAAGUGACGGUAGGUGCAGAAGAAGGACCGGCCAACUACGUGCCAGCAGCCGCAGUAA